rnacentral:piRNA from 1 species
UGAAUAGUCUUAGAGAAGUCACACUUAUGCC